AUGGCAACCGAAGCAGUGAGUAUGAAGAUGUGUGAUCUCAGACAACCCACAUCCAAAGACUGAGCUAUCUUAUAAGCUGAAUCUCGGUGGCAGCUGCACACUUAAAUAUUGCCGUGUAUGAUGAGAGUGUUAAGAUAAAGUGUCGGGACGUUAGCAGCAACCGGUUUGAUAUAUAAAAAUCAGUUUCAAGAGACAUUCCACUGGAUCAACCAAGUGCGUGAAGUAGAAGGAGGCUGCUUUGGAAUUAGCUAUUUGAAAUGGUGAAUGAGGAAAGCUAAAGCUGAAAUUAAGCACACACAAGGAAAAUGGGUUGUUUCUGAGGGAAGUCAGUGGGUUUCUACAUAUACCCGGCUCAAGAUAAGGACUCGAGAGUCAGGAGAAUGGAAAAAGCAUGAGGAUGUCAAUACCCAGAAAAUAUCACAGUAAUACUUAAGAAUUGUCAGAAUGGUUUUCAGAAGCUAUGAAAAUAAUAGCUUAAAUUCACAUUUAGGCAUCUAUUGAAACCUUUGCUGGAGCAUUUGAAUAGACCUGUCUUGUUGAAGGAAAACUUCAGAAACGCAAGCGACAAGCCACCAUCCAGAAUCUUCACGAUCAGUUGAAAAAUAAAUAUUUGUAACACUC